UACGUAGGUGGCAAGCGUUGUCCGGAAUUACUGGGUGUAAAGGGCGUGUAGGCGGGUGAUUAAGUCAGAUGUGAAAUUCCGAGGCUCAACCUCGGCGCUGCAUCUGAAACUGAACAUCUUGAGUGCUGGAGAGGAAAGCGGAAUUCCUAGUGUAGCGGUGAAAUGCGUAGAUAUUAGGAGGAACACCAGUGGCGAAGGCGGCUUUCUGGACAGUAACUGACGCUGAGGCGCGAAAGCGUGGGGAGCAAACAGGAUUAGAUACCCCCGUAGUCC
rnacentral:rRNA from 1 species